rnacentral:pre_miRNA from 1 species
CGUGGUGUUUAGACGUAUUACAUGAUUUUUUGAACAUAACUGUAGUACGGCUAGAACUCCACGGA